ensembl:lncRNA
UGUCUGCACACUAUAGUGAUUGGUCGUAUCACUCACAGGAGGCGGGAGAUGAGUCAACGAAAUCAAAACAAAUGCACAUUUUCAAGAAAUCUGUUGCCAAAGUCUGGCUAAACGCUAAAAACACGAGUUUUUACACAUACACAGUGUAUGUUUAGUUCUGAAGAAGGCUAAACAGCGUCUUUUAGCUUUAGCUUUUAGCUAAGCUAGCGCGCAGCAUGCUAAACCGUUUAGCUACAACUGCUUUGGGACAGUUGUGCUUCUGUAAAGUUGCUGGGUGGCACCGCGAACCGACGCCGAACUUCAGAACACUGGACCGAGGAUCACACAGGGCCCACGUGGACCCGGAAGGCGAACUGCGCGUUAUUAAACCAAGUGGGGCCGCACAGGACGUUUGUUUCCCGGCUAUUGCUUCCGUCGCCAUUGAAACCUUAAGGAGGAACGGCUGAGGCCAGGCGACACCAGCACUGUUUGUACAUCUGUACAGUACGUAAUUGUUUAUUGGUGUAAAUAAUUGUGUUCAUUCCUUUUAUUCCAUCUGUCCUUUUGAUAAAGUGACUGAUGUUUAUGAAUGCAGAACUGUUGCUUAGAUACAGGAGGAGACUAGUCAGUUAUUUAACUGACCUUCAGACAAACUUGCGAAACAGUGCUGCUGAGUGAAGGUCAGUGGUUGCUGUUAAUGCUAGAUAGUGUGUAAGAAUAAGUUAAUAAUCACCAAGAUGGCUCAGAUCAAUUGCGAUGGUACUUUCAGUCCCUGACCUUAUGCAACCAGAUACAUCACCCUUCAUUCAACCUUGCAGCUCAGGCCAUUUGCCUAAAUAGCACAUCUGCUGAUAAGUCAUUUGGAAAUACGGAAAGUGUUCUGUCGUACACAGGCUGAGAAAUGUUACCGCUGACAGCAAACAGCGCAUCCUGACCGGGCCUAGCAAAGGACCCACUUUAUUUUCAGCCCAGGUGAGAGUGAUGGUGCUCCAUCAAUGCCACGGGUCGAGCCGAGGCACCAUAAAGGCAUACGCACACUUGUUAACAAACACACACAUGCACACACAGAAAAAUAUGAACUCCUGUCUGUCUGAAUACAUGGCUGUUUAAUGAGGGUAAUUACCUGCAGCAUAUUAGUCUCUAUGUCUUUCUUAUUAGCCCCUUGCUCUAUCUCCACUAUUUCUGGUGCAUUUUCAAAACCUAAAACAUCAAUGGAAAUUGGUUUUAUAAUUCUGGGACUCCAGAAAAUGGACUGUCCUGAAAAAUGAUUAAUUGCAGGAGAAGCAUGUUAGAAAAUGACAGGGGAAGGUUAUUUGAGGUCACACAGCAGGGUAGAAUAGAGCAACCAGUAGUUUGGUGUAUAAAAUUUAGCCUUUGGUUCAGUGAAUUAUAAUUUGCAUGAUUUAAUGCAGAACGUCAGGCUUUAGAAUAUACAACAAUGAACAUGAUUCUAACUGUAGCAAAUUUCCCACUGCAUUUCAUUUGUAUGUUAAUGUUCUUGCAGUAUGUGCAUUGUGUAUCCCAGUGUAUGCAUGUUGCUUGACACUGACACCUUACUAAAUUAAUUUAUUGCGGAUUGAGGUUCUAAGCGUUUCACCCAUCCCUCAAUCAGAGGAGGCCGUUUUAGUUUUGUUAUCUGCUUUUUCUAAGCAAAUGAAUGAGGAGAAAUAUGCUUAUUGUUCUGUUGCUUGAUGUUUUGUGAGGCUAGUUUAUUACAGUGUGUUUCUCCCUUUGUGUGUUUCCAAGCUCCUCACAUUUAGAACUGCUUACAUUUACAGUACAGCUCUACGUGAAAUCAAUAAAUGGGACGCUACUGCCA